rnacentral:rRNA from 1 species
GACAGAGGAUGCAAGCGUUAUCCGGAAUGAUUGGGCGUAAAGCGUCUGUAGGUGGCUUUUUAAGUCCGCCGUCAAAUCCCAGGGCUCAACCCUGGACAGGCGGUGGGAAACUACCAAGCUGGAGUACGGUAGGGGCAGAGGGAAUUUCCGGUGGAGCGGUGAAAUGCGCAGAUAUCAGGAGGAACACCAAUUGCGAAGGCAGCUCGCUGGGACGUUACUGACGCUGAGACGCGAAAGCGUGGGGAGCAAACAGG